GGGGGCUUUGCAUAGAGACAUGUCCAGAUGUAAACCAGAUCCUUUUUUUCAACACCUGCUUCCUCCUUAACCACAAAUCCAUCUCCCCAUUUGGUCCUUGGCUUCACUAGUGGAUUGAAGGAAGUCCCACAAUUGCAUGUACACAGGAGCUUGGAAUCAUGAAGGAGAACUGUUUGGACACAUGUCUUAUACACCACAAACUUAACCUGCACUGAGGCUUUACUAUCAUUGAAGAGAGACAAGAAUCAUCAAAAUGCCUUAUGUCUUUUCUCAGCAUGAUCCUGAAGGAUAAUAUCCAAGCAAAAGCUGUUGACCACCACAACCCUCAGAUAUCGAUAUGAAUCAACAUUUAUUUGUCAGGGAGAGUGUUGAAGGAGUGGAAGGUGAUGAUUUUGAAUCCAAGAACAGCUCUUAGUGUACAAGGCAACCCCAGUAGAGGCUUGAAUUUGAGGACAAAACAAUGACCGUCGCACUUCAAACAAACACCAGGCCAGAAACAUGCACCUGGGGACAUGUAACUAGUGUUAAGCACUGGAUGAGUCACCAGGCAUGGGGGAAGCUGGGGGAGCAGAUGACAAAGGGCAGCUCAGGGGGUUGAUAAUUGAAAGUGAGGAGCAUGAGGGUCAGGAUCGCACUUUCAAAAAGGAGACUAAGUACUGCACAAGAGCCAUAUUCAAGUGCUACCUUUCAAAAUUCUUAAGACUCCAGGAGGUGGACUGGACAGUAAGGAGAAGGCAUGUAAUGCCAUCUCCCAAAUAAGUAAAGUUGGGGACCAUUGGUAGUCUGCAAUAGACUAUUAUGCAUUAUGCAUUCCAUUGACUGAGUAAAAGCAUCUCCUAGAAAAGUUCCCUCUGCUGUUGUAUUAGGCUCUGACUUCCAGAAGCAGUUGGAACUAGUUUUUACCCUGUUGGAGAACUGUUGCGGUGAAACAUGCCAGAGAGGCUCAGAAAUAUCAAUGUUCCUCAGUCCUGCAUUUGAGAUCAGUGGAGUUUGUGUAACAGAUUGCUACUCCUGGUGGCAUAGUAUAUCAACACACUUAAAUCACCUGUUCAGGUAGAUCUGGAUAAGUAACAUAGACAAUUAGAGCUUUUUCUUUGAUUAUGGAGUCUUAGGGUCGGUAGAAGAUAAGGGCAGUGGACAUUCUGUACCACCCCAGCUUUUCUUUUGGUAAAGUGCCCAUAGUACUACUCCUUCAACAAGCAUUGUACACUGUCAGAUACUUCCACAAUAGCCAAAGAGAAGUUCACGGUGCAUGAACACAGUGCAGUGAUUGCUUACACCACUGAACCUUCAUGGCAGUCAAAAUCAUGCACAGUUUAUUGCAUUGUAAAUGUUUGCGUUCUUUAAAAAGGUGAUGGAUCAUUGAUGGAACAACAUACAAAGAGAAGUUAUUGUGAUGGCAGCAAAAUGAAAAA